GCUCCAUUCAAUAUACCAUAUCCCGGUGCAUAUGCGACACCGUAUUACGUUACAUUACAAGCACAACUUUGAUAUCACACUCCUAGGGGCUGUUUGGUUUGUAGCUAAAUGUGCAUCACUUUGUCUAAGGUUAGUCGUUCGAAUUGAAUAACUAACCUUAGGCACAAAAGUUAGGCAAAGUGUGGCAAGUUAGGCAUCAAAUCAAACAGGCCCUAGUCUUUGUUGCGCACACGCGCUGCUAUAUUUUAUUCUAGCAUGUGUAUAUCGUCUCUGAUCGAGACUGGCACAAUCAAACCUACAAACACAAUCGAAAAUAGUACAAGCAAACAGCAGCAGCAGGAUGUCAUCCUGUCAACGUACUCCUACUUACGUGCCAGUAGUACGAGUUCGACGCCGAGAUGGAUCAGCCUGUCACUGGGAAGAGGCGUCCCUGGUGAUGAGCGCGCGGCGGGGCUUGCGCGACGGGUUGGGCGAGGUCUUGAUGGGAAAGGACGCCUCCAUGGCGAUGCCGCAGAGGCCGCCGUUGCCGGUGCCGCGCUGCAUCCGGAUGUAGCCGCCCUCUCCCCAGGAAGGGCCCCACGAGUUCUUGACGAUCCAGUAGGGCGUGCCGUCGUCGCUGACGCCGUAGCCGACCGCCGCCACGCCGUGGUCCAGGUCCGUGCCGCAGUCGCCCGUGAACACGCCCUCCGAGUAGAACUGCAGCGCCUGGCCCCCCGCGUCGAUGGCCACGGACACCGGUUGGUGCGCCACCGCCUUGGCCAGCGCGUCCUCGCUGCCGGCCGGCACAGCCUGGUGGCCGUCGAUCGCCACGACCCGCCCGCGCCGGGCCCGCGCGCCGUCGCAGGUGCCGUUGGAGGCGUGGUACGGGUACGCGGACUCGGUGGUGAUGCCGCCGUGGGACUUGAUGAACUCGAAGGCGUUCUCCAUGAGCCCGCCCUGGCACCCGUUCUCGUCCGUGUCGCAGUCGAUCAGCUCCUGCUCCGACAGCGACACCAGGCUCCCCGUCCGUAUGGCGUUGAUGCCCUCCACGGCCACCACUGUGGAGAAGGCCCAGCAGCUGCCGCAGCGGCCCUGGUUCUUGACGGCCGUCACCGCGCCCUUCUGCCGCCAGUCCACGGACCGCGGCAGGUCGGUGGCGUCGUCGUACAUGAACCCCGGCACGGCCGGCGCCGCGGUGGGCUCCCGGCGGAGGUCGUUGAUGCGGGAGUCGGCGAACCCGGAACGGAAUUCCUCACGGCCCAUGUCGCCGAAGCGGUUCAGGCGGAGGCGGUAGGGUCGGUCGCCGCGCUUGUUGUGCGCGUGGAUGAAGCGCGCGUUCUCCUUGAAGGUCCCGAACCGGCGGCCCUUCUCGCCGUGGUGUCGGUGCACCCGGUGGUGCGUCUGCCACCGCUCGUACAGGUCCCACAGCGCCUCGUCCGAUGCCAGGUCCCGCUCGUCGAACUCGAUGGCGCGGCACAGCUCCACCGCCGACACGACCACCAGGGCCACAAGGAGAAGCGUCUUAGCGACCUGCGCCAUCCUGCAAGUGCUUGCAACCUACCAGCACCGUCGUGUGCAGUGGCCGGCUGUGCUAGCGACCGGGGAGCUCGAUCGCUCGGCUGCCGGAGUGUGAGCUGAUGGGUUUGCGUCUUUGGGACGACGAGGAGCUAGCCGUAUUUAUAGCGCGGAGCGGGCGA
rnacentral:misc_RNA from 1 species